ACAACUUAGGGAAACUUAAGCUAAUACCGCAUAAUGCAGCGGCUCGACAUCGAGACAGUUGUUAAAGGAGCAAUCCGCCUUUUGAGCAGCCUGCGGCAGAUUAGCUAGUUGGUAAGGUAAUGGCUUACCAAGGCUACGAUCUGUAACCGACCUGAGAGGGUGGUCGGUCACACUGACACUGAAUAACGGGUCAGACUCCUACGGGAGGCAGCAGUCGGGAAUUUUGGGCAAUGGGCGAAAGCCUGACCCAGCAACGCCGCGUGAAGGAUGAAGUAUUUCGGUAUGUAAACUUCGUAAGAAUAGGAAGAAUAAAUGACGGUACUAUUUGUAAGGUCCGGCUAACUACGUGCCAGCAGCCGCGGUAAUACGUAGGGACCAAGCGUUGUUCGGAUUUACUGGGCGUAAAGGGCGCGUAGGCGGCGUGGUAAGUCAGCUGUGAAAUCUCCGAGCUUAACUCGGAACGGUCAGCUGAUACUGCUGUGCUAGAGUACAGAAGGGGCAAUCGGAAUUCUUGGUGUAGCGGUGAAAUGCGUAGAUAUCAAGAGGAACACCUGAGGUGAAGACGGGUUGCUGGGCUGAUACUGACGCUGAGGCGCGAAAGCUAGGGUAGCAAACGGGAUUAGAUACCCCGGUAGUCCUAGCCCUAAACGAUGAAUGCUUGGUGUCUGGAGUUUUAAAUCUCUGGGUGCCGUCGCUAACGCUUUUAGCAUUCCGCCUGGGGAGUACGCACGCAAGUGUGAAACUCAAAAAUUGACGGGGACCCGCACAAGCGGUGGAGCAUGUGGUUUAAUUCGACACAACGCGAAGAACCUUACCUGGACUAGAAUGUGAGGGAAUAUUACCUAAUAGUAAUAGUCUGAGCAAUCAGACCCAAAACAAGAUGCUGCAUGGCUGUCGUCGGCUCGUGUCGUGAGAUGUUGGGUCAAGUCCCGCAACGAGCGCAACCCCUAUCAACAGUUGCCAUCAUUAAGUUGGGAACUCUGUUGAGACUGCCGUUGAUAAAACGGAGGAAGGUGGGGAUGACGUCAAGUCAUCAUGGCUUUUAUGUUCAGGGCUACACACGUGCUACAAUGGACGGUACAAACCGUUGCAAUCCUGCGAAGGGGAGCUAAUCGGAAAAAGCCGUUCUCAGUUCGGAUUGUAGUCUGCAACUCGACUACAUGAAGUUGGAAUCGCUAGUAAUCGCGGAUCAGAACGCCGCGGUGAAUACGUUCCCGGGUCUUGUACACACCGCCCGUCACAUCACGAAAGUGGAUUGUACUAGAAGUAGCUGGGCUAACCUUCGGGAGGCAAGUUACUACGGUAUGAUUCAUGAUUGGGGUGAAGUCGGAACAAGGUA
rnacentral:rRNA from 1 species